CUUCCAGCGGGGAAGAUGGACCCAAAGAUGGCAGUGGCAGGGGGAGGCAGAGUCUGGCGGCUCCGCAAGCGGAGCAAAGAAAUUGGAGAUGAGCACCCCUGAUGCCCGAGAGCCUGAGGGACCUUUAAUGGACUUGCAGGAGAGUUUCUUGCCCAUUAUGAAGGCAGUUAACUGAAGAAAUUACCAGUGGUAAACCAUAAAAAAGACGUGGAAUCCAAAAUAGAAUGAAGAGUAGUGAUGUCCCUCUAUGGAAAUGCAUUUCUCUCUCGCUCAGGAGUGUCUGUGGUGAAGAACGCUGUAUGGAGUGAGAUUAACCUAAUUCGUUCAU